UCGUGUCCUAGAGAAUCAUCAAACAAAGAAUCUUACUUGUUUCAUACAGCAACUAACUGAAAAAAACACGCUACUCUGGAGAAAAGGCAAAUGCUAUACACACACUGCACGAUCGUUGCCAAGAUAACCUUGGUCUUACUUCUUUAGAGGACUCGAGUCUUCGUUGUCAGGCUUUAUAUAUUAUACCAUCACCAAUCACACACGUUACUCCUCUGUCCUGUUUGACCAAAAAUCUUUCAAGGUUUAAUGGCCAGCGACGUCUUUCGUGGCGUCCCGACCGAAGAUACCAAAAUAAUAUCACUUGUUGAUAGCGCAUUUCACUGGCUACACGUGAUUGCGACGUGUUGACCAAAUGGUUAACUAGCUGGCUUCACGGGUCUGGCAUUGACCCAGAGCCGGUUCACUGAUCUGUUUCCUUGAGGCGAACACGUAAUUAUCGCGAUGAGAUUCACUUCUAAACAAACGUAUUCUUCGAUUUAUUUUCAGGGACUUAAACUCUGGCUUCAUUAAUUGUUGCUUGACUGUUGGGUUUAACUAGCUUGAGCAAGUCGCGCAAACGGAGGCACAGGAGUGUCUGAUCAAGAACUUUUAUUCAUUCUAUACUUAAUGACUCUUACUGGCUCUUCAUCUGGAUAACUGAGUCUCUGUGUCUCUCUGUUUUAGCACCAGGUACACGCUCUUAAAUAUCCCAUCGAUAAGCAUAUUUGGGCUUACGGGACAACUGACGUUCGAAGCAAAAUCCCAGAACUCUUUCUUUAAUCAUCACCGCAAUAUUUCCGAUUUUAAUUCUUUUCGUCGUGUGAUUUCUAACAUUGUAUUGCGGUGUUAAGUGUACUAAGUAUAUUUAGCAAGUUAGUUGUUUCGAUUUAGUCACUUUUUUUGCUUGUUAUAUAGCAUUAACUCGUUAUUAUAACUAGUUAUUAAAGUUGUUAGCUCGAAGGCAUUAGCAUUUGGGUAUUGCUCAGUAAAUUUGAGACUAAAGAUAGUUUAUGUAUGUAUAUAUGUGCAGGAGUAUAGAUUGAAAUGUCGGGGAAAUCUGACGAAAUUUUUAGGACAACCUGCUGAGGAAAAACAUCUUAUUCAGAGAAUGUAACUCGGUUCUAAUCAUUUCAAGCUGUCGAAACCGAGAGGAGCUUAGUGAAUGUUAAUCAGUGUUUCCUAAUUCAAGGGGACAAAGAAUGAACAGGGAAUGAAGUAAUUAAAAUCAGAUGCAGCAGAAA